CCAGUUUGGUUUUAUCUGAUGAAGCAAAGCAGAGAAAAUAGACCUACAGUCCAUAUGCUUCAGUCUAUUGUGUCUUGAUCUAAGAAGAGAUGCAGAACAGAUGCUAAGAAGACUUAGACGCAAUGAGCCCCAGAAACAGCUGGAGUGCAGUGGCGUGAUCUUGGCUCAUCGCAACCUCCGCCUCCUGGGUGCAAGCGAUUCACCUGCCUCAGACUCCGGAAGACCUGAGAUUACAGGGGGUAUCCAGUACAAUGAUGAAUAGAAAUGGAUAAAGCAGAAACACUUGUGUUAUUCUCAAUUCCAGAGAUAUCCUUUACCAAAUAAAGAAAAUUCUCUUCACCAAGAAAUGGAUCAUGGUGGUAUUCUGAUCCGAGACUUCUAGAUUCCAAAACUGUGAGAAAAAAAAAUGUCUGCUGUUUAAGCCACCUUGUCUUUGGUGACAACCCAGGCUGAUUAAGACAGUUAUCAUAUAUUAUUUAUUUACAUAUUACUAGAUUCUAUGUAACAUUUUGUUAAGUUUUAUGUUUACAAGUUAUUUCAUAUUUUAUGUCAAGUUUUUUUAAGGGUUUUAUAAAGAUUUUGCUGCCCUCAUGAAACAAUUAGGUAACAUUUUUCUAUGUUGUGAAAGUAAAAUUGGUAUCAUAUCUUCUUAAAUAAUUGAUUUAAAUUAAAAUUUACCAGUAAAAUUACUGAUGUCUUGAAUUUCUUUGUAGGAAGACUUAUGGGAGUAGAUUCAGUUUAUUUUACAGGUGUUUCCUGUCACUUUUCUGGUGAAUUCCAGUGUUCUUUCUUAGAUGACCUAUUUAGAGUGU
rnacentral:lncRNA from 10 species